rnacentral:rRNA from 1 species
GACGAACGCUGGCGGCGUGCCUAAUACAUGCAAGUCGUGCGGACCUUGUUGAAAGCUUGCUUUUAAAAGGUUCGCGGCGGUCGGGUGAGUAACACGUGGGCAACCUGCCUGUAAGACUGGGAUAACGCCGGGAAACCGGGGCUAAUACCAGAUCGUUUUUUCCUCCGCAUGGAGGAAAAAGGAAAGGCGGCUUCGGCUGCCACUUACAGAUGGGCCCGCGGCGCAUUAGCUAGUUGGCGGGGUAAUGGCCCACCAAGGCAACGAUGCGUAGCCGACCUGAGAGGGUGAUCGGCCACAUUGGGACUGAGACACGGCCCAAACUCCUACGGGAGGCAGCAGUAGGGAAUCUUCCGCAAUGGACGAAAGUCUGACGGAGCAACGCCGCGUGAGUGAAGAAGGCCUUCGGGUCGUAAAACUCUGUUGCCGGGGAAGAACAAGUGCCGUUCGAACAGGGCGGCGCCUUGACGGUACCCGGCCAGAAAGCCACGGCUAACUACGUG